rnacentral:rRNA from 1 species
UACGUAGGGGGCAAGCGUUGUCCGGAAUUAUUGGGCGUAAAGAGCGUGUAGGCGGUCCGGUAAGUCAGCUGUGAAAGUCAAGGGCUCAACCCUUGAAUGCCGGUUGAUACUGUCGGGCUAGAGUCCGGAAGAGGCGAGUGGAAUUCCCGGUGUAGCGGUGAAAUGCGCAGAUAUCGGGAGGAACACCAGUGGCGAAGGCGGCUGUCUGGGCCAGUUCUGACGCUGAGGCGCGAAAGCGUGGGGAGCAAACAGG